rnacentral:rRNA from 1 species
CUGGUUGAUUCUGCCAGUAGUCAUAUGCUUGUCUCAAAGAUUAAGCCAUGCAUGUCUAAGUCUAAACAACUUUAUGAACGGCUCAUUAGAUCAGCAAUAAUUUAUUUGAUGGUUCCUUACUACUUGGAUAACUGUAGUAAUUCUAGAGCUAAUACAUGCAAAGUCCCGACUCUCAUUAGAUAAAAACCAAUGCGGGCUUCGGUCCGGAUUUGUGUUGAAUCAUAGUAACUUAUCGGAUGGCAUAGCUUUACGCUGGCCACAGAUCAUUCAAAUUUCUGCCCUAUCAGCUUUAGACAUAGUGGACACCGUGGCGUUAACGGGUAACGGAGAAUUAGGGUUCGAUUCCGGAGAGGGAGCCUGAGAAACGGCUACCACAUCCAAGGAAGGCAGCAGGCGCGCAAAUUACCCAAUUCCUGACACAGGGAGGUAGUGACAAAAAAUAACAAUACCUGGCCUUUUUAGGUCGGGUAAUUCCCUUAACGAGGAUCAAUUGGAGGGCACUGGUGCCAGCAGCCGCGGUAAU